rnacentral:rRNA from 1 species
UACGGGGGGGCAAGCGUUGUUCGGAAUUACUGGGCGUAAAGGGCUCGUAGGCGGCCAACUAAGUCAGACGUGAAAUCCCUCGGCUUAACCGGGGAACUGCAUCUGAUACUGGAUGGCUUGAGAUUGGGAGAGGGAUGCGGAAUUCCAGGUGUAGCGGUGAAAUGCGCAGAUAUCAGGAGGAACACCGGUGGCGAAGGCGGGUCUUUGGGCCGAUACUGACGCUGAGGAGCGAAAGCGUGGGGAGCGAACAGG